GACUCUGUAGCUCAGCUGGGAGAGUGCCACCUUGACACGGUGGAGGUCGUCGGUUCGAGACCGGCCAGAGUCACCA
rnacentral:tRNA from 1 species